rnacentral:misc_RNA from 1 species
GUGGGAGCGGGCUUGCUCGCGAAUACGGUGUGUCAGUACCAGAUUUAUCAACUGACCCACCGCAUUCGCGAGCAAGCCCGCUCCCAC